UGCAGCUUGUGCUUUGAUCUGCUUACUCUUCUAUGUUUUGAUGUACAUGUGUGGACAUAAAAAGGGUGUGACGGAAUCUGAGCUACAUAAGACUGUGGAGGAGGGACAGCAGCUUCCUGCUGGUGCACAUGGGAAGCAGGUGCAAGACAGAAGUGACGGACGACAGCUGCUUGACAUUUACUCAGAGGUCAAUUACAGCCCACUGUGACCUCUGACCUCAGCCACACCUCCACAAGUCAUGUGAUCCAGAUAACUCCACCCUCCAAGACUCGCUUACACACCUCCUCCUACAUGUCUUCAUUUUGACACAUAAGGGGUUAAAUUUUCUCAUUCAGAUAUAAUUGUGAUUUUAAUUUUCAUGCACGCAUUGUAGUCUGGCUGAACUGUAAAGGGAGUGUCCAGCUUUGUUAGUGCUGUUCCUAAUAUUCCGCGUUCUUCUUUGUAGGAAAAUAAAGUCAUUGACGCGAGACUUGUUUAA